rnacentral:rRNA from 1 species
AAUACCGGAUAACAACACUAGACGCAUGUCUAGAGUUUAAAAGAUGGUUCUGCUAUCACUCUUGGAUGGACCUGCGGUGCAUUAGCUAGUUGGUAAGGUAACGGCUUACCAAGGCAAUGAUGCAUAGCCGAGUUGAGAGACUGAUCGGCCGCAUUGGGACUGAGACACGGCCCAAACUCCUACGGGAGGCAGCAGUAGGGAAUCUUCCACAAUGGACGCAAGUCUGAUGGAGCAACGCCGCGUGAGUGAAGAAGGGUUUCGGCUCGUAAAGCUCUGUUGGUAGUGAAGAAAGAUAGAGGUAGUAACUGGCCUUUAUUUGACGGUAAUUACCUAGAAAGUCACGGCUAACUACGUGCCAGCAGCCGCGGUAAUACGUAGGUGGCAAGCGUUGUCCGGAUUUAUUGGGCGUAAAGCGAGUGCAGGCGGUUCAAUAAGUCUGAUGUGAAAGCCUUCGGCUCAACCGGAGAAUUGCAUCAGAAACUGUUGAACUUGAGUGCAGAAGAGGAGAGUGGAACUCCAUGUGUAGCGGUGGAAUGCGUAGAUAUAUGGAAGAACACCAGUGGCGAAGGCGGCUCUCUGGUCUGCAACUGACGCUGAGGCUCGAAAGCAUGGGUAGCGAACAGGAUUAGAUACCCUGGUAGUCCAUGCCGUAAACGAUGAGUGCUAAGUGUUGGGAGGUUUCCGCCUCUCAGUGCUGCAG